UUCCAAAAGGGAUUUUCCUUUUGGCCAGAAUGGAUUUUCCUCCUCCCAGGAUUUUCCUCCUCCUAAACUGGAUUUUCCUUUUUUCUAAAAAGGAUUUUUCUGUUUCCAGAAGGGAUUUUCAUCCUCCUAAAAUGGAUUUUUUUUUUUUUUCUGAAAUGCAUUUUCCUUUUCCCAUGAUGGAUUUUCCUUUUUCCAAAAUGGAUUUUCCCCCUCCCAAAAUGGAUUUUCCUUUUUCCAAAAUUGACUAAUUCUUUUUCCAGAAGGGAUUUUCCUUUUUCUAGAAAGGAUUUUCCUUUUCCCAUAAUGGAUUUUCCUUUUUCCAAAUUGCAAUUUUCUUUUCCCAAAAUAGAUUUUCCAUUUUCCAAUAUGGAUUUUCUUCCUCCCAUAAUGGAUUGUCCUCCUCCCAAAAGGGAUUUUCCUUCUCCCAAAAGGGAUUUUCCUUUUCCCAAAUUGCAUUUUCCUUUUCCCAUAAUGGAUUUUCCUUCUUCCAAAAUGGAUUUUUCUUUUCCCAGGAUGGAUUUUCCUCCUCCCAGCAUGGAUUUUCCUUUUUCCAAAUUGCAUCUUCCUAUUUCCAUAAUGGAUCUUCCUUUUCCCAAAAGGGAUUUUCCUCCUCCCAAAAUCCAUUUUCCUCAUCCCAGGAUGGAUUUUCCUUUUUCCGAAUUGCAUUUUCCUUUUCCCAUAAUGGAUUUUCCUUCUUCCAAAAUGGAUUUUUUUUCCUCCUAGAAUGCAUUUUCCUCCUCCCAAAAUAGAUUUUCCAUUUUCCCGAAUGCAUUUUCCUCAUCCCAGGAUGGAUUUUCCAUUUCCCAGGAUGGAUUUCCAUCAGGGGAUUGAAUUCCCGGCUGAUUUUUGCUCCCACCCCAGGAUCCCAAACCCUUCCCCUCAUCCCCCCCUUACUCCCAGGUUACUCCCAGGUUACUCCAGGUUACUCCCAGGUUACUCCAGGUUACUCCCAGGUUACUCCAGGUUGCAGCUCAGCUCCCCCAGGCACAAACCCGCGUGGGAGGAGGAGGAGGAGGAAGGAGCAGCUGGAAUUAUCCCACAUUUCCCCACAUUUCCCCACAGUUUGGCUUUUCAGCAUUAAUAAUCCCCCAAAUCCCAUCCCGGGGGUUCCGGGCUGUUCUGGCUCUGGGAUUUUCCUUUUCUGGAGGGAAAAUUCCGGCUCUGAGAGCCCCAACCCGCCCAGGGCAGCACAACCCUGCUCAUUUUCCUGCU
rnacentral:lncRNA from 1 species